rnacentral:rRNA from 1 species
UACGUAGGGUGCAAGCGUUAAUCGGAAUUACUGGGCGUAAAGCGUGCGCAGGCGGUGAUGUAAGACAGGUGUGAAAUCCCCGGGCUUAACCUGGGAACUGCAUUUGUGACUGCAUAGCUAGAGUACGGUAGAGGGGGGAUGGAAUUCCGCGUGUAGCAGUGAAAUGCGUAGAUAUGCGGAGGAACACCGAUGGCGAAGGCAAUCCCCUGGACCUGUACUGACGCUCAUGCACGAAAGCGUGGGGAGCAAACAGG